UCCAGAACAGUUUCCUGGCUUUCAUAGGGAAAUAUUAUUAUUACGAGACUGCCUUUCACCUUUGCUUGUUUCGAGAUGAAUAAUUUUGUUGCUAGCACAAUAGCACGCGUCAUCUUUACCCUAUUCUCUUCUUCAAUUGGUUGCUACUCUGAAGGAAUUAAUAACCGAUUCCCCAAUGGUACUCUCUACAGAGGACGUACAGAGCUCAAUCUUAUUGAGGUACUCAAUACAAGUGAUCCGUUGUUCGUGUACGCCUUCUGCGCAAAGGUAGAAGGCUUAAACGAAUGUGAGCCCUAUGACUGCUUCAAUGAAACUGAUACCUGCGAACAUAUGCGUAAAACAUACUUGACAAACACAACAUACAAUUUUACUCUUUUCAAGUCUGAAUGGUUCGCACACCUGGCAGAACAUGUCAUAUAGUGCCCAAAUUCUUGGCAAUCGGUGGCCACCAGUUGAAAUGAUAUACAACGACACAACACCUUCGAAGAAAACGCCGUAUCAAAUUGAUUUGAAUUUGACAUACAACCAGCCUGAUACAUACAAUUGCAGUGUUUUUACGGUGUCUUAUCCACCGUAUGUCAAUGCAGCCAUGGCAGCAACAUCGCUUGCCCAUCUGCAUGGUGAUCUUCGUUAAUAGUCACAAUAAAUCUGAAAAUGUUUGCAUAUGUUCUUCGUUUAUCUGAUGAUAAAAGUUGAUAAAAUAAUUUUUCAAAUGACUUUUUCGUAAUUCAUGCAAUAAAAAAUA